rnacentral:sRNA from 1 species
AACGUAGGACACAAGCGUUAUCCGGAGUGACUGGGCGUAAAGGGCGUGUAGGCGGAUGAGUAAGUCUAUUUUGAAAGCCCCUGGCUAAACUGGGGGAGGCGAAUGGAGACUGCUGAUCUAGAGUGAGGAAGAGGCAAGUGGAAUUCCGCGUGUAGUGGUGAAAUGCGUAGAGAUGCGGAGGAACACCAGUGGCGAAAGCGACUUGCUGGUUCUACACUGACGCUGAGGCGCGAAAGCAUGGGGAGCGAACGGG